rnacentral:rRNA from 1 species
CAGUAGCCGCGGGAAUACGUAGGGCGCAAGCGUUAUCCGGAAUUAUUGGGCGUAAAGAGCUCGUAGGCGGUUUGUCGCGUCUGCCGUGAAAGUCCGGGGCUCAACCCCGGAUCUGCGGUGGGUACGGGCAGACUAGAGUGAUGUAGGGGAGACUGGAAUUCCUGGUGUAGCGGUGAAAUGCGCAGAUAUCAGGAGGAACACCGAUGGCGAAGGCAGGUCUCUGGGCAUUAACUGACGCUGAGGAGCGAAAGCAUGGGGAGCGAACAGGAUUAGAUACCCCGGUAGUCCCUGUCUCUUAUAC